rnacentral:misc_RNA from 1 species
GAUGAAGAACGUAGCGAAACGCGAUAUGUAAUGUGAAUUGCAGAAUUCAGUGAAUCAUCAAAUCUUUGAACGCACAUGGCGCCUUCCAGUAUCCUGGGAGGCAUGCCUGUCCGAGCGUCGUUUCAACCCUCGAGCCCUCGUGGCCCGGCGUUGGGGAUCUGCCACGGCAGGCCCCGAAAUACAGUGGCGGACCCGUUAGGCCCUUCCUUUGCGUAGUAGCAUCAGCCUCGCAUCGGGAGCCGGCGGGCUCUCCUGCCUCUAAACCCCCCAACAAGCCCGCUCCGGCGGCACCAAGGUUGACCUCGGAUCAGGUAGGAAUACCCGCUGAACUUAAGCAUAUCAAUAAGCGGAGGA